rnacentral:rRNA from 1 species
GUUGGGUAGGGGAGCGUUCUGUAAGCCUGCGAAGGUGUACUGUGAGGUAUGCUGGAGGUAUCAGAAGUGCGAAUGCUGACAUAAGUAACGAUAAUGCGGGUGAAAAACCCGCACGCCGGAAGACCAAGGGUUCCUGUCCAACGUUAAUCGGGGCAGGGUGAGUCGACCCCUAAGGCGAGGCUGAAAAGCGUAGUCGAUGGGAAACGGGUUAAUAUUCCCGUACUGGUGGUAACUGCGAUGGGGGAACGGAGAAGGCUAGGUUGUCCGGGCGACGGUCGUCCCGGUUCAAGCAGGUAGGCAGAGUGAUUAGGCAAAUCCGGUCACUUAAUGCUGAGAUGUGAUGACGAACCACCAAGGUGGUGAAGCAAUUGAUGCCCCGCUUCCAGGAAAAGCCUCUAAGCUUCAGGUUACCAACAAUCGUACCCCAAACCGACACAGGUGGUCAGGUAGAGAAUACUCAGGCGCUUGAGAGAACUCGGGUGAAGGAACUAGGCAAAAUGGUGCCGUAACUUCGGGAGAAGGCACGCUGGCGGUAGGUAAAGUCCCUCGCGGACAGAGCUGAAGCCAGUCGAAGAUACCAGCUGGCUGCAACUGUUUAUUAAAAACACAGCACUGUGCAAACACGAAAGUGGACGUAUACGGUGUGACGCCUGCCCGGUGCUGGAAGGUUAAUUGAUGGGGUCAGCCGCAAGGCGAAGCUCCUGAUCGAAGCCCCAGUAAACGGCGGCCGUAACUAUAACGGUCCUAAGGUAGCGAAAUUCCUUGUCGGGUAAGUUCCGACCUGCACGAAUGGCGUAAUGAUGGCCAGGCUGUCUCCACCCGAGACUCAGUGAAAUUGAACUCGCUGUGAAGAUGCAGUGUACCCGCGGCAAGACGGAAAGACCCCGUGAACCUUUACUAUAGCUUGACACUGAACAUUGAGCCUUGAUGUGUAGGAUAGGUGGGAGGCUUUGAAGUGUGGACGCCAGUCUGCAUGGAGCCAACCUUGAAAUACCACCCUUUAACGUUUGAUGUUCUAACCUAGGCCCAUAAACUGGGUCGGGGACCGUGUCUGGUGGGUAGUUUGACUGGGGCGGUCUCCUCCUAAAGAGUAACGGAGGAGCACGAAGGUUGGCUAAGCAUGGUCGGACAUCAUGCGGUUAGUGCAAAGGCAUAAGCCAGCUUGACUGCGAGAGUGACGGCUCGAGCAGGUACGAAAGUAGGUCUUAGUGAUCCGGUGGUUCUGAAUGGAAGGGCCAUCGCUCAACGGAUAAAAGGUACUCCGGGGAUAACAGGCUGAUACCGCCCAAGAGUUCAUAUCGACGGCGGUGUUUGGCACCUCGAUGUCGGCUCAUCACAUCCUGGGGCUGAAGUAGGUCCCAAGGGUAUGGCUGUUCGCCAUUUAAAGUGGUACGCGAGCUGGGUUUAGAACGUCGUGAGACAGUUCGGUCCCUAUCUGCCGUGGGCGUUGGAAGAUUGAGAGGGGUUGCUCCUAGUACGAGAGGACCGGAGUGAACGCACCACUGGUGUUCGGGUUGUCAUGCCAAUGGCAUUGCCCGGUAGCUAAGUGCGGAAGAGAUAACCGCUGAAAGCAUCUAAGCGGGAAACUUGCCUCGAGAUGAGUCUUCCCUGUCGCUUUAAGCGACCUAAAGGAACGUUUAAGACUAAGACGUUGAUAGGCUGGGUGUGUAAGCGUAGCGAUACGUUGAGCUAACCAGUACUAAUGAACCGUGAGGCUUAACCUGACAACACCGAAAGUGUUUUG